AACGAACGCUGGCGGCAGGCCUAACACAUGCAAGUCGAGCGCCCAGCAAUGGGAGCGGCAGACGGGUGAGUAACACGUGGGAACCUUCCCUAUAGUACGGAAUAGCCCAGGGAAACUUGGAGUAAUACCGCAUACGCCCGAGAGGGGAAAGAUUUAUCGCUAUAGGAUGGGCCCGCGUAGGAUUAGCUAGUUGGUGAGGUAAUGGCUCACCAAGGCGACGAUCCUUAGCUGGUCUGAGAGGACGACCAGCCACACUGGGACUGAGACACGGCCCAGACUCCUACGGGAGGCAGCAGUGGGGAAUAUUGGACAAUGGGCGCAAGCCUGAUCCAGCCAUGCCGCGUGAGUGAUGAAGGCCUUAGGGUUGUAAAGCUCUUUUGCCGGGGACGAUAAUGACGGUACCCGGAGAAUAAGUCCCGGCUAACUUCGUGCCAGCCAGCCGCGGUAAU
rnacentral:rRNA from 1 species